rnacentral:lncRNA from 1 species
CUUAACCUUUCUCUUCAAAUGAAAGGUCAUAUUGCUUUCACUGAGGAAAUGCCACUUCCCCACAGCAGGAGCGGGCAGAUAAAGGAAAGAAGCUAUCUCCAGAGCAUGGUUCUCCACCAGGCUGGGUGGAGGAGGCAGCUGCAGGGCUGAAGGAGGCCUGUUCUGAGAGACUAUUGCUGCACUUGAAGUGCCCUCACAAGCUGUAGACCACGGGAAGGUCUGAGACCUAUGCUCGAAUGGAGACUUCUUUUUAAAAAGAUCGUGCUUUUUGAGCAGCGAGAACUCAGCUCCUGUUUGCGCAGUCCAGACAUGUUGGAUAAUUGUGGCAAGUGUGCAUCCCUCUCUCCAUAUGAGAGUGCUGAACAGCAGCAGUUGCUGGGACUCCAGGUUCCCUGAAGCAGCACCUCGGCUGGGAGCAGUGUGGCAGUGUCUAUUGGAGACAAGCAGUGACAAAGCAUUCCAGGAGAAGCUUCCCCAGGAGCAAGGCAGGUCUUUCUGAAGCAACUACCCCUUUAAAAACUGUUUUGAGAAGCACGUGUUAAGUUGCACCACUCCUCAUGUUGAUUCAUGUCAGUAGAGAUGUAUUUGGUACAGCUUUGUUAGCUCUUGCUACAUAAUCGAAUAUGUCCAGCUGCUAGCUUUAAUGUAAUACUUGUUUCCAUUAUGCCCAGGAUAAUGUCAAUACCUGAGACUUAAUCAAAUGCUUGACAAAGCUGAGAUGAAGACAAUGGAUUCAAUUAUCUCAGAUAACUGAUUUUCUUUGUAUGAUGUUGUCAAUGUUCAAAAGGCUAGGUGGAUUAACAGUCUGUCAAGAAUUGGCAGGCUUGUGCUAGUCUUGCGUCC